rfam:Providencia rettgeri strain MR4 P_rettgeri_contig_447, whole genome shotgun sequence.
UAUCACAUGCACGUUGUUAUUUUUCGUUUCUUUUUUUACUUUAGCACCUGAAUUUCGGGGGCUUUUUUGCGUAAAUAAAGAAGAAACGAAAAGUUACGCUAAAGCCUCCUUAGGGAGGCUUUUUUGUU